CUCUCCUUCACAGGUGGUUCUAGUUUGCUGGGGGGCGUGGCCCACACCUGCGGCUCAUUUGGAGCGCUGUUCACUGGCGUCUUAAGAAAGGCACAGACAGAUGGAAGACGCCAGAGCCUUACCCAGUCGUGGUACGACAUGGCCUCUGACCUGAUCCUGCAAACCUGAACUUGUGAGUUUUUUCGUAUCUUUGGAACCUGACUAAUUUUGGAUCUCCUGCCUUUCUUGUAGUUUUGUGUUUGGGUUACUCACCCGUCUUGACGUCUCACUCGACGAACCAUCUUCCAACAAUCCCAGAAACUCAGAUGUUGCUCUGGCAUUCCCCCUCGUACUCUCUGGAUGUUACCUAGCUGGGCUUGAGGUUUCCCUUCCCUGGAUUCUGCUGGUUCCCUCUGAUCUCUGGUCAAACUGUCUGUCUCCCCUGUCUGUCAUGGCUCCCUCCGGAUCCCUCGCCGCCUUGCCAUCAGUCCGCCCUCCAGCUGCUAACCACCGGCCAUCCUCAUGAACACUCGGCCUCAGAGUUUCCCUCACCUUCCCCUCCCUGGUUAGGUUCGCUCAACUAAAUGUUCCUCCGGCAUUGAUGUUCAGACCUCGACGGAUCUCCACACCCGUGCGAUCCCUGUACCUGAACCAUUUAAUAAACAUCUUUAAACUGCA